UGGAAUGUGGCUUAGUGUUAGAGUGUUUGCCUAGCAUGCAUGAAGCCCAGGGUUUGAUUCCUGGGCAUGUUAG
rnacentral:tRNA from 1 species